GAUAAAUCAUAGUUCACUCAUCAGCUAAACCCAUAACAUUUUAGGUACCUUCCCAGAUGUUAAGCAUUAUUAAAUUCUGUUAGGCUACACCAACAGUUUUAGAGAAAAAUGAUGAAAAUUAUGAAAUACUAUCUCUGAUUAAUAUAAAGCUAAAGCCUCAGAGGCUGAGGAAGCUAUCAUGUUUUAUAUAUAUAUAUAUAUAUUUUUUUUUUUUUUUUUUUUUAUUUUAAUUAUUUAAAAAAAAAAAANNNNNNNNNNNNNNNNNNNNNNNNNNNNNNNNNNNNNNUUUUGCAUGAUUUAAGUUAUUCAAAACAUACAAUAUGUUGGGGGAAAAAAAGUUAAUUAACAUUUGUUUUACAAUCCUAAUCCACAAUUGGGCAUAUGCAGAUUGUAUAAAAAUUCAUACGAAUAUUGAUAACAAAUUGCCAUGAGAGUGUGUUGUUAAAAAAUGCUUAUAGUAGCAGUAAAUCUGGCACUACUUGAGCAUUUGCUAGCUACAUUUUACUGGUGAUGUGCAUACAAUGCGUCAUAAAACACGCUUAGGCUGACACAGUUUGUGCGGCUGAGACGUCAAAGCAGAGGUAAACUGUUUAAGUGCACACGCAAGCCACAUCCUUUCUUGAUUUCAUUCUGCUUGAUCUACCGAUAUCAAAACAGCAAAUGGAGGUCGCAGAAUUUGGAAAGGACAGCACAUUUAAACAUUGUCAGACCUUACAAACAAGCAUGUAAGCGAAAUCGUUUGCACCAGAAACACUUCUCACAGGCGUCUCAUUCACUGGACAUACAGAAUGCAUGCACUCCGGAAAAACCCCAAAAGGGCAAAGUCACUUCAAAGGAAGGAAAUCAAGAAGACUGUCUCAUGCCAAGGUGGAUCAGUUUCAGUUUCUUGAGAAACUUCAUUUAUCCAAAAUCACAUAAGAAAUGCUGACACUGAGGCACUAACUGACCCUGGGUCAGCGAGACAUCGCGGGUGUCCAUAACACUUGUCUUGUGUACUCCAACCUCAAAAUUGUGAUCUUUGGGAAGUUUAUUCCUCUUUCAGUAAAGUGACAUUCUGUGCAAAGCAGUCAGUUUAGUGAAAUCAUGCUGACAGUUUGCCAAGGAACUGACUGGCUGUGUUUUUAAUCUGCAGGUGAAUUAUAAUUAAAUCCAAUAAAUAUAUGUAUUUAAUUGUUUUAUUAAAAUAG
ensembl:lncRNA